rfam:Trichuris suis scaffold311.1, whole genome shotgun sequence.
CAAACGGCCCUUUUCAGGGCCACAUAAUUUUGCUGUCGCACACUG